AUGAAGAACGCAGCGAAAUGCGAUACGUAGUGUGAAUUGCAGAAUUCCGCGAAUCAUCGAGUCUUUGAACGCAAGUUGCGCCCGAGGCUUGUCCGAGGGCAUUUCCGCUAGAGCGUCACCGCGCCCCCCACCGAUCCGCUCCCGCCGCGAGGCGCCAGUCGAUUCGAGUGGAAGUGGCCGUCCCGGUCGCGGCCUUCGCAAGAAGGCCUUGAGAGCGAGCAAGGGUCGGCUGAAAUGGAUGGAAUUGGGCCGCCGUGGUGACACAGUCCGCGAUCGGGUGAUUUUUCGCGAGCCUCCUCCGGGAGGGUCGCCGUGAAUUUUUCUAAGUGCGUGGCUGCGUCCCCCAGUUGGUUUCGGUUACCUCGUGCAGGUCGUGCGCGCCCCCCGCGGCGCGCGUCACGCAUCAGACCUCUAAUCGGAAAAGACUACCCGCUGAGUUUAAGCAUAUCAAUAAGCG
rnacentral:rRNA from 1 species